UACGAAGGGGGCUAGCGUUGCUCGGAAUCACUGGGCGUAAAGCGCACGUAGGCGGGCUCUUAAGUCGGUGGUGAAAUCCUGGAGCUCAACUCCAGAACUGCCUCCGAUACUGAGAGUCUUCGAGUCCGGGAGAGGUGAGUGGAACUGCGAGUGUAGAGGUGAAAUUCGUAGAUAUUCGCAAGAACACCAGUGGCGAAGGCGGCUCACUGGCCCGGUACCGACGCUGAGGUGCGAAAGCGUGGGGAGCAAACAGG
rnacentral:rRNA from 1 species